GGUGUUAUGGAUCAACUGGGGAUCGUGUUAUCUGGGGACAUGCGCGUGCACGCACUUAAAUUUACCUGACAUACCAGCGACCGCGUCAGUUUCGUCAAAUUCGAUUUUCAAAAGCCCUUAUUAAAAACGUAUAUCAAAUUAUUAAUAAUUGUUGUUAUCAAUGUUCGACCACUUUGUUUCCUCUGCUUGUGUUUCCGUUUAUUUGACGCAGUUUAAAUUAAGUUUUAUCCUAUUUUCCUUGAACCAAUUGCACCACGCCCACGUUAAAAUGGGACAGCUGUUACCUUUUCGAUGCGAUGUUAUCAUUAAACUUGCCAGCGGAUUUAAGUACAUUUGACUUGGCUGAAGUUAAGAGAGGCAAAUGACAGUCAAACAUCAAUCUGUUUUUAUUUUUCAAGCAGAUCAGAAUUUGUGACAAAUGUGGAAUUAUCUAAGGUAAAUGACUGAUCUUUGAAAUUACAUCCAUACACGUUACAUAUGCUUACAAAAUGAUAUUGUUUUGUAACUCAGUGUAAAACUGAAAGUAAACUCUUUAAAAUUGUAUCUUGUUUCUGUGAUUGGAUAUGUGGAGAAUACAUUGUUUUCUGUAAACUUUCUCAAUAAAUAACUGGUUUCUAUUUUUCUGUGACA